GACGAACGCUGGCGGCGCGCUUAACACAUGCAAGUCGAGCGAGAACCAGGGCUUCGGCUCUGGGGACAGCGGCGAACGGGUGAGUAACACGUGAGUAAUCUGCCCUCGACACUGGGAUAGCCCGGGGAAACCCGGAUUAAUACCGGAUAGCCUUUCGAGCUCUCGGGCUCGUCAGAAAAGGAUGGCUUCGGCUUUCGGUUGAGGAUGAGCCUGCGGCGGAUUAGCUUGUUGGUGAGGAACGGCUCACCAAGGCGACAAUCCGUAGCUGGUCUGAGAGGACGAUCAGCCACACUGGGACUGAGACACGGCCCAGACUCCUACGGGAGGCAGCAGUGGGGAAUCUUGCGCAAUGAGCGAAAGCUUGACGCAGCGACGCCGCGUGA
rnacentral:rRNA from 1 species